rnacentral:rRNA from 1 species
UACGGAGGGUGCAAGCGUUAUCCGGAUUUACUGGGUUUAAAGGGUGCGUAGGCGGAUUGUUAAGUCAGUGGUGAAAGAUUCGAGCUCAACUCGGAAACUGCCAUUGAUACUGAUGAUCUUGAGUACAGUUGAGGUAGGCGGAAUGUGUCAUGUAGCGGUGAAAUGCUUAGAUAUGACACAGAACACCGAUUGCGAAGGCAGCUUGCUAAACUGUUAUUGACGCUGAGGCACGAAAGCGUGGGGAUCAAACAGG